rnacentral:rRNA from 1 species
UACUAACUCUAUCUUCUUUCCUAAUACAUGCAAGUCGAACGCAGUGGGGACGGGUGAGUAACACGUGGGUAACCUCCCAUCAGAGGGGAUAACACUUGGAAACAGGUGCUAAACCGAUAUUGAUGGAUGGACCCGCUGUGCAUUAUCUAGUUGGUGGGGUAACGGCUCACCAAGGCCACGAUGCAUAGCCGACCUGCGAGGUGGAUCGGCCACCUCGGGACUGAGACACGGCCCAGACUCCUACGGGAGGCAGCAGUAGGGAAGCUGCGGCAAUGGACGAAAGUCUGACCGAGCAACGCCGCGUGAGUUAAGAAGGUUUUCGGAUCGUAAAACUCUGUUGUUAGAGAAGCGGUAUCUAACCAGAAAGCCACGGCUAAAUCAGUGCAAGAAGCAGAGGUAAUAC